AACACGCUCUCCACGCUAAGGCUCCUCCUCGUGGGCUCCGAGUCGCGUAUACCCCACAGCGAGAAAGCGUUGCCGCAGGCAACGACCCGAAGGGCGAAGCGCGCAGCGCUGAGUCAUCCUUCCCCCACCACCA
rnacentral:sRNA from 1 species